CCGCUCUUGUGAUUUUAUUAAGUCGCGGACCAUUACAAGGGUGUCCACAUAUACUAACGGCAACUUCUGAUUGAGUAAGUUGAUGGGUGGUGCGAUGAGAGGGAUUCAAUCCAGCAAAAUGUCCACAGCCCUGUCUUUACGUUGUGCGCUGAUCAUCCUUCAUUUGAUGAUGGAAUUGCCAGGAACAGAAUGCCUAAAUAUAACUUUUAAAAACUCUUGGUACAUAAUUUCGGUGCGCGAAACUGAAAGGUUCCACUAUAGCUGGCUCUGGUCCAGAAAAACCUGCCAAAACCAAGGAGGG